UAGAGGCAGGCAACCACGGUAGGGUCAGCGACUGGGGUGAAGUCGUAACAAGGUAGCCGUAGGGGAACCUGUGGCUGGAUCACCUCCUUUCUAAGGAUGAUCAAGAAUGGGCCUAGGCCUUUUUUGAUCUGAUUAGACAUUGACGGUUUAAAGUCWWCCGGACUAUUUAAACCGUUGACAUAUUUUAAACAUUCUAUGAACCGUGGGUUUUGAAUGGAAACUCUGUCCCCUUUAGUGAUACAGAGCAUAACUGUUUUUUAUCCAUGGUUCAUUUGUUUAAAAAUUUAUAAAAAGACUAGCCGCCUUCAUUUCUCUUUCUUCAGAUGAUGAUCCUAAGCCUUCUGGCGAUCUGUUUGCACAAGCCUCUGAGAGGGAUGAAGAUAUUGUUUUCUUUGAUCAGAUUAUGCCGGUAAAGGUUUUCUGGUUUACCCUAUAGGGCUUGUAGCUCAGUUGGUUAGAGCGCGCGCUUGAUAAGCGUGAGGUCGGAGGUUCAAGUCCUCCCAGGCCCACCAGUUACACGAUGCUAAAAGUUGCUAUAUUGGGAGAGUUGAUAAUCCCUUACAGGAAAUUAUUGCCCUUAAUAAAACUUUAUUUUCUAAAAGCAUUCAGAGCUGACAUAGAAUAGAGCUGACAUAGAAUUGAGAAUCUGACAUAGGAAUUAUUGAAAUUGUUUUGGAAUUAUUGAAAUUGUUUUCUAUCAUUUUAAAAGGCUAAAAUAUUCUGUCUCUAUUUUUAAAAUAGCAUCAGGUGUUUUGUAAAGAGUGUGAAGUUUUUAAGGGUGAGGUUUUUUAUAUUUUAGGCUGUUUUUAAAUGAAAAUAGUUAUUUUUACGCUCUUUUGACGAUUGUUACAACAUUAUACGAUUAAAACAUUAUACGAUAAUGAUAAUAACGAUAAUAAAAAGAGCUUUCAUUAAUAAAAAGAGCUUUCAUUAAUAAUAAAGAGCUUUCAUUAAUAAUAAAGAGCUUUCAUUAAUAAUAAAGAGCUUUCAUUAAUAAUAAAGAGCUUUCAUUAAUAAUAAAGAGCUUUCAUUAAUAAUAAAGAGCUUUCAUUGAACUUUCAUUGAAGAAGCAUUUUGAGCAAAACAGAUGUGUCGCAAGGAAGAGCUCAAAUUCCUUGCUUAUGAUUGGCAACUUAACCGUGCCAUUGAAUAUAUCUCGAGAAGUUGGUCUUUUCUGCUGAUAUUUUUGUUUUAAGUGCCUAUUGAUGCUAGAUUAUUUUUAAAAAUAAUUUUGUAUUGAUGAUUUUGCACGGAAUAAUUGAUCGAAUGAAUAUUGGCAAUGAGA
rnacentral:misc_RNA from 1 species